rnacentral:rRNA from 1 species
UACGUAGGCAGCAAGCGUUGUUCGGAGUUACUGGGCGUAAAGGGUGCGUAGGCGGCUAUUUAAGUUUGGUGUGAAAUCUCCCGGCUCAACUGGGAGGGUGCGCCGAAUACUGAGUGGCUAGAGUGUGGGAGAGGAAAGUGGAAUUCCUGGUGUAGCGGUGAAAUGCGUAGAUAUCAGGAGGAACACCGGUGGUGUAAACGCUUUCUGGACCAUAACUGACGCUGAGGCACGAAAGCGUGGGUAGCAAACAGG